rnacentral:rRNA from 1 species
CCUACGGGAGGCAGCAGUAGGGAAUAUUGGGCAAUGGAGGCAACUCUGACCCAGCCAUGCCGCGUGCAGGAAGACGGUCCUCUGGAUUGUAAACUGCUUUUGAAUGGGAAGAAUGUGUGGCUUGCGAGCUAUAAUGACGGUACCAUUAGAAUAAGCCACGGCUAACUACGUGCCAGCAGCCGCGGUAAUACGUAGGUGGCGAGCGUUAUCCGGAUUUAUUGGGUUUAAAGGGUGCGUAGGCGGCUUAAUAAGUCGGUGGUUAAAAGUAGCAGCUUAACUGUUUUACAUGCCAUCGAUACUGUUGAGCUUGAGAUAUUUGGAGGCAGCUAGAAUUUCCGGUGUAGCGGUGAAAUGCAUAGAUACCGGAAGGAAUACCAAUUGCGAAGGCAGGUUGCUACGAAUAAACUGACGCUGAUGCACGAAAGCGUGGGGAUCAAACAGGAUUAGAUACCCUGGUAGUCCACGCCGUAAACGAUGAUUACUAGUUGUUGGGGUUUAAGCCUCAGUGACCAAGGGAAACCGAUAAGUAAUCCACCUGGGGAGUACGCCGGCAACGGUGAAACUCAAAUGAAUUGCGGCUGAGAGNGCGACGACGACGACGAGGGAGGAGG